rnacentral:lncRNA from 10 species
GUGAAGACUUUUAAAAUAGAGACCAACGUGGCCGGGCAGGAAGAGCAGGGUCCCGCCUUCAGGUGUUUGGGACUCAGCUGAGGGUGUGGGUGCCCCGCGGUGGGGGCUGAACCUUCCUGGGGUGUGGAGAGACGAAAGGAGCCCAGAUCCAAGUUCCCUCGUUCCCGCUUUGGCAUAAGUUGCCCUGGCGGUCUCAUGAGAGAGAGAAAGAGCUGGGACCCUCCUCGCCCCAGUGAGUGUGAUGUCUUGCUCCGGGUGUCCUGGGGCAACUUUCUAUACAGGCGGGACGUGGGAGGAUCAGACAGUGUAACAUCAGACAAGGGUGUUGACUCUGCAGCACAGAACCAGUAGUUUGUGGAGAAGAAUGGAGGUGUGGUGUUGAAUCUGCUAGACAGGCUACUGAAGCAAAAGUCAAGAGAUCCAGAUUCCAUCAUGGGGACACUUUAGCUGUUGUAAAAAGGAUUGAGUUCUUGAUUGAUUCCCAGCUUGGUCAUUGGUGUAUAGCAGUGCUACUGAUUUGUUUACAUUCAUUUUGUAACCUGAGACUUUACUGAAUUCGUGUAUCAGAUCUAGGAGCCUUUUGGUUCUUCAUCGGGUAAUUGAGCUGAUAUCAGGUGUCUGAAGGAGGCAAGUUUUGAAGAUGUGGGUCAUGAUGGCUGCUGAAGCUUCCACUCCAUAUUUGAAGGUCAGCAGUUCUCAGGAAACCUCUAGCACUUCCAUCCCUGGUGGGAUGUGAUGCCUGUCUCAGUGUAACAUCAGAGAAGGGGUGUACUCUGUGCCCUAGAACUAGGAGCUAACAGAGAAAAACCAAAUGUGAUGUGGAGUCUGCUAGACAGGCUACUGGAGCAAGAGUGAAGCGAUGAAAGUCUCAUCAUUGGGACAUAUUAGUGUGACAUGCAUAAAGGAAUUUCUUAUUGAGCCCCAGGAAGAAGAAACACUACAUAAGAGCAAAUAAUAAAAUCGGUCAGAUAGACAGAAGAUGGGAGUCAUCAAACCUGUAUCCCUCUUGCCAGACCUAUCAACUGACCAUACGUCAUUCAGGAGGCAGCAGGUGGCUGAAAUCCUGGUGUGAUGUGGCUGGAUCAUGCAUGAUCUGAGGACUCCUGCACAGAUGCAGUGGAUCCCCAGGUUGCAAGUCAUAUAACCUGAGCAUGCCCAGAUGAACCAAGUAUGCCUGAUUGGUGAACCUGGAACUGGCCAGAACAGAAAAUGUCAACCACAUGUGGAAUCUAAGUAUUCAGAUUGAGAAAUGAGGACCAAAAUGAGAACACUGAGCUCCUCACACAGGUGACUGAACCCGUGGUUUUGGUGUCUGAGAAGAUGCAGCUUCUCCAGUCUCUGCAACUGACGGCAGGAAGAUGGGAGCACUCAGCUUCAGUGUUCAGAAGCAGAUUUAGGCCAAUUGCCAUACCUUACGUUCUGGAGGGAUCCACCCUGACCUGAGCAGAAGGCAUCACACACAUUCCCAAGCAGCAUGGUUCCCGUGAGAAACUGAAAACUAAUUUCUUGAAUCUACAAUGCGA